CCUACGGGAGGCUGCAGUGGGGAAUAUUGCACAAUGGGCGCAAGCCUGAUGCAGCCAUGCCGCGUGUGUGAAGAAGGCCUUCGGGUUGUAAAGCACUUUCAGCGGGGAGGAAGGCGGUGAGGUUAAUAACCUCAUCGAUUGACGUUACCCGCAGAAGAAGCACCGGCUAACUCCGUGCCAGCAGCCGCGGUAAUACGGAGGGUGCAAGCGUUAAUCGGAAUUACUGGGCGUAAAGCGCACGCAGGCGGUCUGUCAAGUCGGAUGUGAAAUCCCCGGGCUCAACCUGGGAACUGCAUUCGAAACUGGCAGGCUAGAGUCUUGUAGAGGGGGGUAGAAUUCCAGGUGUAGCGGUGAAAUGCGUAGAGAUCUGGAGGAAUACCGGCGGCGAAGGCGGCCCCCUGGACAAAGACUGACGCUCAGGUGCGAAAGCGUGGGGAGCAAACAGGAUUAGAUACCCCAGUAGUC
rnacentral:rRNA from 1 species